UCCCUGGUGGCUCAGAAGGUAAAGCGUCUGCCUGCAAUGCGGGAGACCUGGGUUUGAUCCCUGGGUCGGGAA
rnacentral:tRNA from 1 species